rnacentral:ncRNA from 1 species
GCGAAGCUACGAAUCGAAGCCCCAGUAAACGGCGGCCGUAACUAUAACGGUCCUAAGGUAGCGAAAUUCCUUGUCGGGUAAGUUCCGACCCGCACGAAAGGCGUAACGAUUUGGGCACUGUCUCAACGAGAGACUCGGUGAAAUCAUAGUACCUGUGAAGAUGCAGGUUACCCGCGACAGGACGGAAAGACCCCGUGGAGCUUUACUGUAGCCUGAUAUUGAAAUUCGGCACAGCUUGUACAGGAUAGGUAGGAGCCUUUGAAAU